rnacentral:lncRNA from 10 species
GUGCAUAUUUGGCUCAAUUUUAUUGUUGUUGAUAACUUCUCUCUAAUGAAAAUGCCACGAAUAGAAAAUUUUGGAGGCUGCCCUUUAUAUUCUCAUUUUAAGUUACACAAUCUCUCUUGUCCUCUCCUUUCCAUUUCAGGGUCACGUUUCUCUUUAGAUUACACACAGUGUCUUGUGAUACUGCCUCUGGUCAGCUGAUUUCUCCUUGCCUCAUUCCAACUUCUUUUGUCAGAAAAUUCUUCAAGAUUGCCACAUUCUUUCACAAUAAUAUGGUUCAGAGCAUCUUCUCCAG